rnacentral:snoRNA from 1 species
UUAAAUAAAAUUUUUAGGAAAUAUAUUUAAUUCAGAUAUGAAAAAUAUAUAUUUAUUGCGAGUUUAAAUACGAAAUUAAAUUCAUUUAAUUUUAAUUUAGUUUUUUAAACAUUUUAAAUGUAUUAAAAUUGUUUAAAUGUAUUAAAU